rnacentral:lncRNA from 1 species
CAAACAUCUUCAAUCAAUUUUGCAUUAGUCCCUUGAUCUGUCCAAUGAGGAAAUGCCACCACAGGUACGCCUGACGACAGGCUCUCCAGAGUCGAAUUCCAUCCACAGUGCGAGACAAAACAUCCUAAAGAUGGAUGUGUUAAGACUUCAAGUUGUGAACACCAUGGUACUAUUUUCCCUUGCUUCUCUAAUUCCAUCAUGCAACUUAAUUUCUCUUCUUCUUUUUCUACUUCUUUUAUAUUUUCUUGAUCUCUUAUUACCCAUAAGAAUGGCCUUUUAAUCUCUAUCAACCCUUUUGCAAUCUCCUCCUUUUGGUUUCUUGAUAAAUUUAAUAGACUCCCAAAUGAGAUAUAAACAAUUGAUGAUUUAGGUUUUGUGUUUAACCAUUCCAUGUAGUCAUCAUCUGACUUUUGAAAAAGAUCACCACCAAAUGAAGAUUCCAAUGAAUCUUUUCCACCCAAGAAUGAUGAAGGAAUCAAUGGUCCAAUUCCAAUUAAAUUGUAUUUUUCAAUAGCUUUGAGUGGCUCUAGCUCUAAUGCAUCAAAUGUAUUCACAAGUACCUUUGGAUUUUCUUCACCAUCUAAUGUGUCUAGUUGCUCUUUAAAUGUUGGUAGAGCAAAACUAUACUUAUCAUCUUUUGAGCUAGAUGAAACUAAAAAGGAUGGAAGAUCUUGGCUUUUUAGUAAUGGAAGCCUUGGUAAUUGGAUACUCCAAUUUGGAUCAUUUGAGCUACAACUCUCCAGAGUUGAAUUCCAUCCAAAAUGCGAGACAAAACAUCCUAAAGAUGGAUGUGUUAAGACUUCAAGUUGUGAACACCAUGGUACUAUUUUCCCUUGCUUCUCUAAUUCCAUCAUGCAACUUAAUUUCUCUUCUUCUUUUUCUACUUCUUUUAUAUUUUCUUGAUCUC